UACAGAUCCUCCGCCUUGUUUAGCAUCGCGCAUUCGCCUACAAACAUAUUUGGAAACCAACCAUGCCCCUCUUAGGUUUGUAUUAAAGGCAUCGAUACCUCCGAAGGCGUCCCAAGCUAUUUGUACGGGGGCCUUAAUGGUAGCACCGUCGGCGGUGAUGUCAAGCUCCAUGGCGAAUGCACGGGGUGGGGCCCUGUAAAUUGAUCUCGUCGUAGAGAGAUUUGAGCCUGUCAGCACGACGAGCAGCAGCAAUGAUGCUGCAGCCGGCUUUCGCCAAGUCGAGACACAACUCUCGCCCAAUUCCUGAGGACGCCCUGUCACCAUCACUACUUUUCCGCUCAGAUCUUUCCAUUGAACUUCUGUAUUAAUACUCUGUAUUAUUUAUAAGGUAGUUAUGCAGGAAUACUCUGUAUUAAUGCACAGGUUUAUAUAUGCAGAGAGUAAUGGCUAAUGUACGAACCACCAAAUCUAAAUUUUUUUCUCUCUUUAUUUUUUGGCAA